GGGGCGUAUGACAUUUGCGCCGAUUUUGAAAAUUUCCAUUCUUUCAUUUGCGCCGAUUUUAUAAUUUCUCCUAAUUGGAUUUACAGGUAAAAAUAAAUUAAUACUUUUACUUGUACUAUAACUUGAAGGUUUAUUGGUAUAUCUGAUUAUAAACGUUGUUCACUUAUGUUUAAUAGAUAUAGGAAGAUGUGGUAUGAAUGCAAAUGAGACAAUUCUCCAUCCAAGCUGAUUGGAAGACUAUUUAUGAAAGUAAACCAUUUUUAAGUUUAUUUUGAUUCUAAUUGUUCUGGAAAUUCGUUGUAACACGAUGGACAUAUUGUAACGACCCGAUGAGUCAAUUCUUUAAUCUUCGACAGCCAUACAUGUCGGAGGGUCAGUGUCCAGAAAAAUAACAUAUCUUGCUGAUGUACCAUUAAAUCGUGUAAAGCCAGAGUCACAACGGAUUCUGAUUGGGAGACUAUUGUCAAACCAAAACACAGAAAGAACAUAACCAUGUGGCAGUUGACCGAAAGACCGAGGCUGAAGAUCUACGAGUACGGUAAAGGAAAAGUCUGGAGAUGUAUCUUCAAAGACUGGGAUGAAAAGUUAUCUCAUUGGCACUAAUACCAUAUCCUCUUAUAUCUGUUUAC
rnacentral:lncRNA from 1 species